UUUGUACUUCCUCCGUCCGGAAAUAUUUGUCAUUAAAAUGGAUAAAAGGGGAUGUAUCUAGACGUAUUUUAGUUUUAGAUACAUCUCUUUUUAUCCAUUUUGAUGACAAGUAUUUUCGGACAGAGGGAGUAAGAU
rnacentral:pre_miRNA from 1 species